AACAAAUACUUCACUUCAGGAGAACAAGUUUAAAUCCCAGCAAUGAUACCAAUCCUGGCUACAUAUUGUGUAUUGCUAUGGAUUUCAUAUGCAGAAUCUCAGACAGUAAGUCUGACUCCAUCAAAUAAUGCAGUUAAUCUGGGAGAGAGCGCAACUUUCAGCUGUAAUGUUGGAGCUAAGGAUGGUAGCCAGGUGCACCUUCUAAAGCAGAUACCAGGGAAUGCCCCACAGCUGAUUAUAUAUCAUCACCAUUCAUUCACCUCUCCUAGAUAUGGCCCAGGGAUAUCUACUGACCGUUAUACUGCCACCAUUAACACUGCAGCCACUGAGUAUCAGUUUAUCAUUAAGAAGGCAGAGACAGCAGACACUGCUCAUUAUUACUGUGUGAAAUGGUUUAGCAGCAUUCCAGGAUCCCACAGUGAUACAGAGUCUGACAAGAAUUGGUAACAUAGAAACAGAAUAAGGAACUGGUUGAUGGUAGACUGCACAUCUGCACAUACUGAUAUCCAAUCUGUCACAGAGUUGCUGUGUUGUUUCCCACUGAAUAUUAAUGGUUCAUCAUCAUUGCAAUUAUAUUUUAAUCUUCUCUAUCUUCUAAUAUUCAUUUUUUGUAUUUCUCUGCCUCUCCUUUCUGAGGUACCAUGCUAAUAUUUUUUAAUUUGCCCU